AGUACUACCUGAACCGUGUGCGCAGCAUGUUAAUGCACUGGAACCGUGAACAACCGAAUCAUGCCGUCAACUUGCGCUAUGCCAGGGUGCAACGCAAGGGGUGUUAAGGGUUUUUUUCGCUUCCCGUCGAGAAAACGCGAUCCGCAGAUGCGUCAAGCGUGGAUAAACGCCACUAAAAGAGUGGAUGAAUGUGGCAAGCGGUGGACACCGACUGCAUAUUCAAGAAUAUGUCACCGACACUUCGUGACAGGUAUGUUACAAUACGUUGUUUGUCAAAAGACACCGGCUUCACGGGCGUCCGCGUAUCGUUUAAUAGGCCAACCAAGCCGGUCACCCAGGCACGUUGACUACGUACCAUGUGCUGCUAACUGCGAUGAUAAAAAGUCUCUCCAGCAAAGAAGGGACGCCAUCCUGAGGCUUCAACGCUCAGAAAGACGCUACCGAAACAAGCAAGAUGAAAAUUCACCUGACUUCGCUGUUUUCCCGAGCGGUGCCCGUGAGGAAGAUCGCAAACAGACAGGCACAGUUACCCAUGCCAGCAGCGAGAUAGAUAUGGACUGUGAGACCUCAGGUUCCAAAAGCACUGACAUCUGCCAAGCCAGCACAGAAGCGGCAAUACAGAGCAGCACGCACACGGAGCUAGAGGUGGUAGCUGCGGAAGCACUAACCUUGCUACCACAAGUCAUAACUCUGAAGGAAACCAAGACCCACUGCAACCAAAGCAACCUCAGUACAGAAAAUCAGCUCCUGAAAAUGCGUAUCCAAGCUUUAGAAGAAGAAAGCAGGAAUUUGUCAUCAC